AGCAGCAUGGCACAGCUGGAAGCGUGCAGGGCCCAUAUGAUAAUUUACAGUCACGUAACUACUCCACCCCGAGGUCACUUGAUCGAAACAAGUUGCUGCUA